UACGUAGGGGCAAGGCGUUGUCCGGAUUUAUUGGGCGUAAAGAGCGUGUAGGCGGCCAGGUAGGUCUGCUGUGAAAACUCGAGCUCAACCUCGAGACGCCGAUGGAAACCCUCCAGCUAGAGUCCGGAAGAGGAGAGUGGAAUUCCUGGUGUAGCGGUGAAAUGCGCAGAUAUCAGGAAGAACACCCGUGGCUAAGGCGGCUCUCUAGUACGGUACUGACGCUGAGACGCGAAAGCGUGGGGAGCGAACAGG
rnacentral:rRNA from 1 species